CCGGCGCACGGUGAGUAACGCGUAUGCAACUUACCUAUCAGAGGGGGAUAACCCGGCGAAAGUCGGACUAAUACCGCAUGAAGCAGGGAUCCCGCAUGGGAAUAUUUGCUAAAGAUUCAUCGCUGAUAGAUAGGCAUGCGUUCCAUUAGGCAGUUGGCGGGGUAACGGCCCACCAAACCGACGAUGGAUAGGGGUUCUGAGAGGAAGGUCCCCCACAUUGGUACUGAGACACGGACCAA
rnacentral:rRNA from 1 species